rnacentral:rRNA from 1 species
GACGAACGCUGGCGGCGUGCUUAACACAUGCAAGUCGAACGGAAAGGCCCUUCGGGGUACUCGAGUGGCGAACGGGUGAGUAACACGUGGGUGAUCUGCCCUGCACUUUGGGAUAAGCCUGGGAAACUGGGUCUAAUACCGAAUAUGAUCAUCGGCUUCAUGGUCGGUGGUGGAAAGCUUUUGCGGUGUGGGAUGGGCUCGCGGCCUAUCAGCUUGUUGGUGGGGUAAUGGCCUACCAAGGCGACGACGGGUAGCCGGCCUGAGAGGGUGACCGGCCACACUGGGACUGAGAUACGGCCCAGACUCCUACGGGAGGCAGCAGUGGGGAAUAUUGCACAAUGGGCGCAAGCCUGAUGCAGCGACGCCGCGUGAGGGAUGACGGCCUUCGGGUUGUAAACCUCUUUCAGCACAGACGAAGCGCAAGUGACGGUAUGUGCAGAAGAAGGACCGGCCAACUACGUG